UCAUGCAUGUAACCAGGAGCAUAGACUUCACUUACAUUCGUAUGAGAGUACGGAAGUCAUGAGAAUUGUGAUGAUAGCCAGCCUUAUACACAUAGACAUCGAUGGGUAUGAUUCCUGCAUCUCGGGGUAUAGUCACUGAAGAACGAUUUCACCACACAUCUAGCUACCAAAACAGUUUUUAUUGAAAUCAAUGAGUCAACCCAAGUCUGUAGCUAUUUCUCAGUCGAGUAGCUGUCACAAACGAGACUCUGUUGUGUUCAUUCAGUCAACCCAACUCUGUUUUCGCACUCAGCUGUAUGGUCUGGAAACACACGUUAGGCUUCUUGUGUGUCUGUCUCUCCAACUCACAGACAUUCACGUUUUAUCAACAGACAAUUAAUACACAAUUCUAAUUCUAGGAAAGAGAUGGAAUCCAGAGACAAAGUGGGGUAACACACUGCUCCGAAAUAUGUAUCCCAAGAGAUUGGUAACAUACCUGCCCAGUCAAGACAGUGAUCGAAAUCAGAGACAAAGUGGGGUAACACCCAGCUCCAAAACGAGUAUCUAUCAUUCCGGGCCUUCCUUUUUUUUUAUAUAAUUUCUUUUUUUUUAUAUUUUGAGUCACAUACCUCUUUCAUGAAGUUACACAUGAGCCUUACCUUUGACACUUUUGCGUGACCCACAUUUCCUCUUAUGUAACACUCAUCCCCUUAUGUGUUUCCUCAUUCAAUCCAGGCAGUGAUCAAUGGCUCAAACGUGAAAUGGGAUAACAUCUCAGUUCAAGAUGAGUGCCCUUCACCAGUGAAUCAGAAAAGCGAGAUAACAAGAGUGAGGUGACAGAACUUACACAGUAGAACUUGUUGACUCAAGGUGUUAGUGAGGGGGUAGCAUCAAAGCAUAGAGUCCAGCAUUUUUACAGUGACUCUUCCCCCUUCUUCAGGACUUAAUCAGAGUUCCAUGAUUCCCAACGCCUUUCUAAGACCCAGAAAGGUGUUGUAAUCCAGUGGUUUGGUAAAGAGAUCCGCAAGUUGUUUCUCUGUUGGGACAUGCUCUAAAAUCACAAUCCUCAUU
rnacentral:lncRNA from 1 species